rnacentral:rRNA from 1 species
CAAUAGCAUAUAUUAACGUUGUUGCAGUUGAAAAGCUCGUAGUUGAACUUUUGGUAGGAGCGACCUGGCCUUGGGCGCAUGCCCUUGUUUGCCGUGUGUCGUGUCUGGCCAUCCUUUUCCGCUUCGGCGGGGAUCUUUUACUGUGAGUAAACUGGAGUGCUCAAAACAAGACGUUUGUUUGGUACAUUAAAGCAUGGAAUAAUAAGAUAGGACCUGGUUACUAUUUUGUUGGUUUGCAUAGCUAGGUAAUGAUUAACAGGGACAGUUGGGGGUAUUCGUAUUUAAUUGUCAGAGGUGAAAUUCUUGGAUUUAUGAAAGACGAACGACUGCGAAAGCAUUUACCAAGGAUGUUUUCAUUA